AACGCGAAGAACCUUACCUGGGCUUGACAUGCAUCGUGUCGCCGGUGAAAGCCGGCUAGUGUAGCAAUACACGCUUUGCACAGGUGCUGCAUGGCUGUCGUCAGCUCGUGCCGUGAGGUGUUGGGUUAAGUCCCGCAACGAGCGCAACCCUUGCCGUGUGUUGGUCGCAAGAUCUCUCACGCGGGACCGCCGGUGACAAGCCGGAGGAAGGUGGGGAUGAUGUCAAGUCAGCAUGGCCCUUACGUCCCGGGCUACACACGUGCUACAAUGGGAGGGACAACGAGUCGCGAACCCGCGAGGGCAAGCUAAUCUCACAAACCCUCUCUCAGUUCGGAUUGAAGGCUGCAACUCGCCUUCAUGAAGUCGGAAUCGCUAGUAACCGUAGAUCAGCUACGCUGCGGUGAAUACGUUCCCGGGCCUUGUACACACCGUAGAGAC
rnacentral:rRNA from 1 species